CCAAAUACCGUAUUCGGGUUCAGCUCCACUCCUACUUUUCACAUUUGACCAACUUCUAGAUGGCAUAAUUUUGUUAGAGGUCUUAGCUCAACAGGGAGAAACAAAGGCAUUGUUGUAAAGGUUUGACAAACAUCACAUAAUGUUGGAAUGUUAUAAAGUACAUAAUUGUUUUUUAUCUUAAUUUCCCUUUUUUUUUUUUUUAAAAAAGUUCUUUGAAUUGUUGCCACAUAAUUUAAUUUCAGUUCUCAACAUUUUAAUUUUAACUAACAGAAUCAGCUUAAUGCAGAAAUCAAUAAGCUCCUCAGGAAACUCCAGCCAUACAGAUAUUUUCACAAAAUCUAAUGGACAUAAAAUUGUAUUUGUGCAUUUCCAAA
ensembl:lncRNA